AACGAACGCUGGCGGCAUGCCUAACACAUGCAAGUCGAACGAGAUCUUCGGGUCUAGUGGCGCACGGGUGCGUAACGCGUGGGAAUCUGCCCUUUGGUUCGGAAUAACAGUUGGAAACGACUGCUAAUACCGGAUGAUGACGAAAGUCCAAAGAUUUAUCGCCAGAGGAUGAGCCCGCGUAGGGUUAGCUAGUUGGUGUGGUAAAGGCGCACCAAGGCGACGAUCCUUAGCUGGUCUGAGAGGAUGAUCAGCCACACUGGGACUGAGACACGGCCCAGACUCCUACGGGAGGCAGCAGUGGGGAAUAUUGAACAAUGGGCGAAAGCCUGAUCCAGCAAUGCCGCGUGAGUGAUGAAGGCCUUAGGGUUGUAAAGCUCUUUUACCCGGGAUGAUAAUGACAGUACCGGGAGAAUAAGCGCCGGCUAACUCCGUGCCAGCAGCCGCCGUAA
rnacentral:rRNA from 1 species